AGACUGUUGUUGUUGAUAAAUUAAAAUGAAUAAUAAGAAAGAAAAACAAACAAAGAGACACCAAGAUUAUCAAACCACGAGACACCAAGAAUUUUUACGUGGAAAACCCUCUAAAACUAAGAGGUAAAAAACCACGGGACGAUCUCCGAAAAAAUCCACUAGAAUAAUAUGAGAGAAUACAAAGAUAUCUUAAUUUGAGUAC
rnacentral:lncRNA from 1 species